UGCGAUGAGGAUCACCUCUUCCCAUUCCGAACAGAGAAGUUAAGCUCAUCAGCGCAGAUGGUACUGGGUUAACCGGGAGAGUAUGUCGUCGCCAUUU
rnacentral:rRNA from 1 species